AGAAGAUGAGAAGAAAAAUAAGCAGAUGAAGAGAAAAGUAUGGAUCUUCAGCCUAAUCAGAUGAAGGGAAAGAACAGAUCUUUGGUUUGAUUGAAUGCUAAACAUUAAAAUUACCUCUCGUGCACUUGAAGUGUGAAGAUGCUCAUGGAUUAUUU